GAAAUUGGACUAAGGGGUACUAAUUAGAAACUUGUUACUAAGGUCCCAGUAAUCCCAAAUCAAAUCACAAAUGAAAAUUAUCUGGAAAGUGUUUUAUGAAAAAUACAGAUGAGAUUUUAAUGUAGAAAUUGAUUAUUUCAGAAAUGAGUUCUAGAAAUCUGUCUUUAAAAAUACCCUCAAGGUGAUUCAAAUGAGUGCUAGGUGUCUAUUCCAUGUGUGAUAUUACAUUGGAAGAGAUGAUAAGACAAAGAAAUAGAUUCCAAAGAAUUUGGAAUGUAGAUCCCCUAGUAUUCUAUGACAUAUUUGGUGGGAAACAAAAGGUAAUAAAGGAGGUAAGAGUCACUUGGUGACUGGGUAGUUGGUCAUUAAAUAUUGAGGAUGGGAACUCAGAUGUGCUAGCAAGUUCUUGGAGUGAGUAUCCUGCAGCCAACUAGGCCUUCAUCAUGGGAGGACCUAGAUUAUCAAAGAGCCUUGAUCACUGGAAAACAAUAAAUGGUAAAUGUGGCUGGUUUGAAAAGAGAGAAGCAAGGAAGGCCAGAAUGUUUCUUGAAAAAGACAAAGAAAUAAGACAAAUAAUACAUAGAAUACACAGAAGUCACUGAAAACUCUUCAGUAGAGAGAUGUAAGCAGUUUAACGUGCUGACCAGAAUCAACUAAGCAAAAGAAUGAAUGCUGAUGCACACAAUAUAAAGAACAAGUGACAAUAAUUCUACAUGGAUGAAGUGAAAAUGUUCAGCUGGGCAUUGUGGAUUUAGAUAUGUGUGAGAAAUACAGAUUAUACUACAGUGUACUGAGGACUUCGGAAUCAUAAACAUUAAGUCACUGGAAGCCAGUUCUAGUUUUCACAAUUGAAAUUAUACUUUAUGCCACAAUUUUCCACAGCAUGUGACACUAGUGACAUUUUAUGUGAACUUCAGUUUGUAUAUAAAUUGGAUGUUCUUCAUCGGGAAGAAUAGCUAAUGGAUGCUGGGCUUCCUACCUAGGUGAUGGGUUCAUCUGUGUAGCAAACCACCACAGCAC